AUGUCUCGUGGCAGUGGCACUAUGACAAUGGAACUAUUGGGUUUGGUCUUUGGAUCCUCAACAAGCCUCAGACUACGGAUGGCAGACAUACCCGGACAACCCCCUUCGCUGCUCAUUCAUGCCUUCACUAGCUGGUAUAGUUUUUCCGGUGAAGCCGCAAACUUUGCACAAGAGUUAGAGAAGCAUAUAGUUACUGACUUCUUUGCUUUGGAGCUACAUCUGAGAACAACAGGUCAUGUUUUUGGAGAAUUUGUGUUGCAUCUUCUUGGAUUGAAUAGGAUCUGUAGUGUUAUAAGGAGACUUAAGGUCGUCCGAGACUCCGAGUCCGACAGAGAUCAUGGGAGGAAGAAGCAUGCCCUGCAAAUUGUCCUUGUGAGACUACGAACUGGAGGACCCAAAUUAUCUCCUUGA
rnacentral:rRNA from 1 species